CCUACGGGAGGCAGCAGUAGGGAAUAUUGCUCAAUGGGGGAAACCCUGAAGCAGCAACGCCGCGUGGAGGAUGAAGGUUUUAGGAUUGUAAACUCCUUUUGUGAGAGAAGAUAAUGACGGUAUCCCACUCAUAAGCACCGGCUAACUCCGUGCCAGCAGCCGCGGUAAUACGGAGGGUUCAAGCGUUACUCGGAGUCACUGGGCGUAAAGAGUGCGCAGGCGGGCUUGUAAGUCAGAUGUGAAAUCCUGUAGCUUAACCACAGAACUGCAUUUGAAACUCUGUGUCUAGAGUGUGGGAGAGGUAGAUGGAAUUCGUGGUGUAGGGGUGAAAUCCGUAGAUAUCAGGAGGAAUACUCGUGGCGAAGGCGACCUACUGGAAAAUUACUGACGCUCAGGCGCGAAAGCGUGGGGAGCAAACAGGAUUAGAUACCCGAGUAGUC
rnacentral:rRNA from 1 species